rnacentral:tRNA from 1 species
GGAGAGAGUCCGGUUGGUCGAGGAAGCUGUCUUGAAAACAGUGGACUGUAAAAAGGUUCAGGGGUUCGAUUCCCUUUCUCUCCGCGA